GAUGUGAAUCACAUCGGGGCUUGCUACACUAUCGGCAAUGGGAGGGAGUUCAUACCCUGCCGGAGAGCAGUGUAGGCAGGGUAUGAAUAUUCGUUCUACCCGAGUCCGACCACAACCCCGAGAUCUAAUACACCAUCGAGGACCUCGAGACUGACGACCACCACCCCGAGGUUGACAUCAUCGAGGAUCCCGAGUCCGACGAGCACAACCCCGAGGCUGAUUACAACACCGCGUAGAUUGCUGACCACCAGAAAACCCUUUCCCAGGUACAGAUCGUAUACCAGCACCCAGUCAACAGAACCCCAAACAACCGAGAACGACCGUCCCACGUCAUCUGUGUCCACAGCCAUCUGGUCAUCGUCCAGUACACAGAGUCCGAUCGCGAGUGAAGCCGACGGUAGCGUCCUGGUGAUUGUCGUUGUGAGUUCCGUGGUCGUCCUCAUGAUUCUACUUGUAGCUGUAUACCUGAUCAAGAGAAGAAAGAAGGAGCAGAAUUCGACCGAUAUUCCUAUGGACUCGUUAGCGAGCUCGCUUUCCGGACUGACUCUAGACUGUGGUUUUGAAGAAGUGAAUUUAUACACUCACUCGUCAACGCGAAGGCGAAAGUCAAAAGACGAGUAGCCAAGAGAUGUUUUUGAACUGAAAAAAGAUACGCGACAUCAUUAAUGUGAAGUAGAUAAUAGGUCUUAGUUCGUGUGAUGUAUUAGUAAAAUGUUGUUUUUGUACGAAAUGUAUGUAUGUAUGUAUGUAUGUAUGUAUGUAUGUAUGUAUGUAUGUAUGUAUGUAUGU